GGUGAACGCUGGCGGUAGGCCUAACACAUGCAAGUCGAACGGCAGCACAGUAAGAGCUUGCUCUUACGGGUGGCGAGUGGCGGACGGGUGAGGAAUACAUCGGAAUCUACUUUUUCGUGGGGGAUAACGUAGGGAAACUUACGCUAAUACCGCAUACGACCUACGGGUGAAAGCAGGGGAUCUUCGGACCUUGCGCGAUUGAAUGAGCCGAUGUCGGAUUAGCUAGUUGGCGGGGUAAAGGCCCACCAAGGCGACGAUCCGUAGCUGGUCUGAGAGGAUGAUCAGCCACACUGGAACUGAGACACGGUCCAGACUCCUACGGGAGGCAGCAGUGGGGAAUAUUGGACAAUGGGCGCAAGCCUGAUCCAGCCAUACCGCGUGGGUGGAGAAGGCCUUCGGGUUGUAAAGCCCUUUUGUUGGGAAAGAAAAGCAGCAGGUUAAUACCCCGCUGUUCUGACGGUACCCAAAGAAUAAGCACCGGCUAACUUCGUG
rnacentral:rRNA from 1 species